rnacentral:rRNA from 1 species
UACGAAGGGGCUAGCGUUGCUCGGAAUCACUGGGCGUAAAGCGCACGUAGGCGGCUUUCUAAGUCAGGGUGAAAUCCCAGAGCUCAACUCUGGAACUGCCUUGAUACUGUCGAUCUGGAGUAUGGAAGAGGUGAGUGGAAUUCCGAGUGUAGAGGUGAAAUUCGUAGAUAUUCGGAGGAACACCAGUGGCGAAGGCGGCUCACUGGUCCAUUACUGACGCUGAGGUGACGAAAGCGUGGGGAGCAAACAGG